rnacentral:rRNA from 1 species
AACUUUCAACAACGGAUCUCUUGGUUCCCCCAUCGAUGAAGAACGCAGCGAAACGCGAUAGUUAAUGUGAAUUGCAGAAUUCAGUGAAUCAUCGAGUCUUUGAACGCACAUUGCGCCCAUUGGUAUUCCUUUGGGCAUGUCUGUUUGAGCGUCAUU